rnacentral:rRNA from 1 species
AUUGAACGCUGGCGGCAGGCCUAACACAUGCAAGUCGAGCGGAUGAAGGUAGCUUGCUACCUGAUUCAGCGGCGGACGGGUGAGUAAUGCCUAGGAAUCUGCCUGGUAGUGGGGGACAACGUUUCGAAAGGAACGCUAAUACCGCAUACGUCCUACGGGAGAAAGUGGGGGAUCUUCGGACCUCACGCUAUCAGAUGAGCCUAGGUACGAUUAGCUAGUUGGUGAGGUAAAGGCUCACCAAGGCGACGAUCGUUAACUGGUCUGAGAGGAUGAUCAGUCACACUAGAACGGAGACACGGUCCAGACUCCUACGGGAGGCGGCAGUGGGGAAUAUUGGACAAUGGGCGAAAGCCUGAUCCAGCCAUGCCGCGUGUGUGAAGAAGGUCUUCGGAUUGUAAAGCACUUUAAGUUGGGAGGAAGGGCAGUAAGUUAAUACCUUGCUGUUUUGACGUUACCGACAGAAUAAGCACCGGCUAACUUCGUGCCAGCCGCCGCCGUAAAAC